rnacentral:rRNA from 1 species
ACAAGCGGUGGAGCAUGUGGUUAAUUCGAAGCAACGCGAAGAACCUUACCAGGUCUUGACAUCCGAUGCUAUUUCUAGAGAUAGAAAGUUACUUCGGUACAUCGGUGACAGGUGGUGCAUGGUUGUCGUCAGCUCGUGUCGUGAGAUGUUGGGUUAAGUCCCGCAACGAGCGCAACCCCUAUUGUUAGUUGCCAUCAUUCAGUUGGGCACUCUAGCGAGACUGCCGGUAAUAAACCGGAGGAAGGUGGGGAUGACGUCAAAUCAUCAUGCCCCUUAUGACCUGGGCUACACACGUGCUACAAUGGUUGGUACAACGAGUUGCGAGUCGGUGACGGCGAGCUAAUCUCUUAAAGCCAAUCUCAGUUCGGAUUGUAGGCUGCAACUCGCCUACAUGAAGUCGGAAUCGCUAGUAAUCGUGGAUCAGCCAAGCCGCGGUGAAUACGUUCCCGGGCCUU